UAGAAGUUCGGCUGCUUUUCUCAUAGACCAAGUAUGAGCAUAUUCUUUGUUUUCUCUGUGCAGCGAUGUUCCAAGCUCAUAUUUGGUAUCUUUUUUCUGUUCAAGAAUAACUUCUUUGCUCUUCGAUGAAAGAAUUAAUCAAUUUUGGGUUUAGAAUCUUUAAUUUCUCGAUGAGCUUCUAUAUUUAUUCUCCAAUGUCUCGUCUCUCUUGAUUGUCCAUAUCCAAAGGUAGUUAUUGAGGGAAUGAACAUGGGAUAUCUUCUUCUAGCCUUUAAUCAGAUAUCUGACAACUGUGGUAUGCUCCACUACACAUCCGGUGGCCAAUUUAAGAUACCAAUUGUCAUCCGAGGUCCUGGUGGAGUUAGUCUACAGCUUGGAGCGGAGCACUCUCAAUGCCUUGGUCAUAUUUUCAGUCAAUUCCUGGAAUCCAUAUUGUUGCUUGUUCAACCCCCUAUAAUGCCAAAGGCUUGAUGAAGGUAGCUAUCAGAAGUGAUAACCCUGUGAUUCUUUUUGAGCAUGUUUUUCUCUACAACCUCAAGGAGAGAAUUCCAGAUGAAGAGUACUUAUUGAACCUUGAAGAAGCAGAGAUGGUACGGCAAGAGGGGCACGUCAUAAGCUCGUCCGCACCGUCUUCAUCCAAAAAAGAAAACAAUGAAUCAAUAACUCUAUGUAGAGAGAAUGGUCAAAUACCCCCCCCCCCCCCCAACCUAUAGUCGAAAUUCCAACUAUACACUCAACCUUUCAAUUAGACCUAUUACCCCCCUAAUCUAUUUUUUCCUAUAUUUAUUACCCCCUAAAUGUUGAGCUGGUAAGGAAGGUGAGAACACCUUCUCUAGGAACGUUGGUUUAGUCCCAGCACGUCCAAAAUUAAAAGUUCAGCCUUUCACGUGUAUUAUACAUGUCAUUUAUUAUUUAUUUAAUGAAAUAAAUAUGGAAAAUUACUCUCUCUCUUCCAA